CAUUCUGCAUCUUCUAGGGAUCGUUUCUAAUUUUACUUACAUCCUGGACAUUCAGUCUGUGGUUAGUACUAGUGGAAGCCAAAAUAGUCCAUUGUGAGGCGACCACUGAACGUGGAAUAGUUCAUCCUUUUGUGAUUCAGAAGAAUGCAACUGAAGUUUCCGAUUUCUCAGAUCCUACAAGGCAACCGUCUUAGCUGAUUCUGUGGCAAAAAUGAACUAAAAUGACUGAGAGGGAGUUCACUUCAGCACUGUGAGCAUCAGGCGAGUAGAUUGUUUUGGAAUUGUUGUUUGAAUGAGUAUCCCAAAUUGUAAAUUUCUGAUCAUCAGCAACUGACCCAAACAGAGGCUCAUGGGACAAACACCUGGAAGUGUCUUGUGUAUUCCCUGUAAGGAUGGGCCUUACAUCCGACACACCUGGAAGCCCCUGUAAGGAUGGUCCUCACAUCCGACACACCUGGAAGCCCCUGUAGGGAUGGUCCUCACAUCCGACACACCUGGAAGCCCCUGUAGGGAUGGUCCUCACAUCCGACACACCUGGAAGCCCCUGUAGGGAUGGUCCUCACAUCCGACACACCUGGAAGCCCCUGUAGGGAUGGUCCUCACAUCCGACACACCUGGAAGCCCCUGUAGGGAUGGUCCUCACAUCCGACACACCUGGAAGCCCCUGUAGGGAUGGUCCUCACAUCCGACACACCUGGAAGCCCCUGUAGGGAUGGUCCUCACAUCCGACACACCUGGAAACCCCUGUAGGGAUGGUCCUCACAUCCGACACACCUGGAAACCCCUGUAGGGAUGGUCCUCACAUCCGACACACCUGGAAGGCCCCGUAGGGAUGGUCCUCACAUCCGACACACCUGGAAGCCCCCGUAGGGAUGGUCCUCACAUCCGACACACCUGGAAGCCCCCGUAGGGAUGGUCCUCACAUCCGACACACCUGGAAGCCCCCGUAGGGAUGGUCCUCACAUCCGACACACCUGGAAGCCCCUUUUUCCACGACCGAACCUCAACCUCCACACUCUCUUUUCUCACUGUUGUACCAUGAUGCAUCAAGCUGAGCACCAUCAUGAGGAAGCAGCACAAGGUGGUUUUGUUCAACUGAUGUGUGUGCACCUGGGGCAAUUCGAUGACUGCUGACAUUUUUCCCUUCUGUCUGGUUACAUCUGGAAGCCACUGUGCAGUU
rnacentral:lncRNA from 1 species